rnacentral:tRNA from 2 species
GCAGUCGUGGCCGAGUGGUUAAGGCGAUGGAAUAGAAAUCCAUUGGAGUUCUCCCCACACAGGUUCGAAUCCAUUCGACUGUG